UUAUCCAAUUUCAAUUCAUAUUAUAGCUUAUUUCAUUUUUCUUUAAAUAUUCUCAUGCCUUAUUUUACAAUAUUAUCUAAAUUCUUGUUCCAUUUCUAUACUCAUUACACAUAUUUACUUACAUCUAUGUCUUGUAUUCUAUUGU